GUCUAUGGCCAUACCACCCUGAACAGGCCCAAUCUCAUCUGAUCCUGGAAGCUAAGCAGGGUUGGGCCUGGUUAGUAUUUAGAUGGGAGAAACAUAGGAAAGAAAUAGAGACACCAGGGGCU
rnacentral:rRNA from 1 species